rnacentral:lncRNA from 1 species
CAUCCUCAAGCAGGCGUCCCUGAUUGGCGCCGCCUUGCGGCUGAGCGCAUCGGCCACCACGUUGGCCUUCCCCGGGUGGUAAAGGAUCUCGCAAUCAUAAUCCUUCACCACAUCCAACCACCGACGCUGCCUCAUGUUCAGAUUUGGCUGAUCCAUGAGGUACCUCAAACUCUUGUGGUCCGUGUAGAUGGUACAUCGAACCCCGUAGAGGUAAUGUCGCCAAAUCUUGAGGGCAAAAACCACCGCCCCCAACUCCAAAUCAUGCGUCGGGUAGUUCGCCUCGUGAGGCUUGAGCUGCCUCGAAGCGUAGGCAAUAACAUGCCCCCUCUGCAUCAGUACCGCGCCCAACCCAGAAAUGGAUGCAUCACAAUAAACCACAAAAUCCUCCACGCCCUCUGGCAGGGCUAAUAUUGGCGCCUCACACAAUUUCUUUCUCAGCGUCUCAAAUGCAGCCUGCUGCUCAGGCCCCCACCGAAAGACCACGACUUUCUUCGUCAGCCGCGUCAGGGGCACGGCUAUCUUGGAGAAAUCCUGAAUAAAUCUCCGAUAGUAUCCUACCAAUCCCAGGAAACUUCGAAUCUCAGAUGGAGACUUUGGAACCUCCCAUCUCAUCACGGCCUCGACCUUGGCCGGAUCGACCAGAAUCCCGUUCUGGUUGACGAGGUGUCCAAGAAAUUGCACCUCGCGCAACCAAAACUCACACUUGGAGAACUUGGCAUACAAGCUCUCCCUCCUCAGGGUCUCUAAC